rnacentral:lncRNA from 1 species
UAAGCACCGUUUGAUGGUUAGAGUGAGUAAAGCAGUCAGAAGUAGAACACCCAUUGAUUGAAGGCAGACAGUCCUUCCGUCAUAUCCAGAUGUUUGAUGAGAAACUGACAACUGAGCAGCCCCUUUUGACAAUAGCUAAACUUUCAUUAAAUCAGCCCUCUUCUUUGAAUCCUCCAUGACAACUGUGAGGAGAUGUGGCAUUUUCUGAAGAGAUCCCUGGAGUUUGGGUAACAGGUGUAACCAUGACUGGUGCUCACAGAAGCUUUGCUGCAACCACAGCUCUUCCUAACAGACUGCACUGCAUACAGGGGACUUUCCUCCAGUGGUUUCCCAAUGGCAAAGAGUUCAAGCUGCUCCUUUGAGAGAAGGAUAUUAAGGAAGCAGAGGAAUGUGAGGUGAGAAAUAAUCCGUUAUCCACACAAGCCUGAGGGACUGAAUUCCUGGCUAUUAGCAUCAUCGUACAGAAGCUUUACAUCAGAUUUAAAUGGACAUUCCUAUGGUUCACCUAUGGCUUAAGUCACAGCCAACAGCAAGGAUCAGGUGAAAACAAUGGCCUUGACAUCUAGAGCAAGUAUGCACUGAAAAGUUUAAGGAAUUGCCUUUUUUUGAUUGAUGUGAAAUUUGGGAACAUUGAAAAGUAUUAAAACUGACAGGUUAGCUAAAAG